rnacentral:rRNA from 2 species
GCUCCCUGAUUCAGCGGCGGACGGGUGAGUAAUGCCUAGGAAUCUGCCUGGUAGUGGGGGACAACGUUUCGAAAGGAACGCUAAUACCGCAUACGUCCUACGGGAGAAAGCAGGGGACCUUCGCGCCUUGCGCUAUCAGAUGAGCCUAGGUCGGAUUAGCUAGUUGGUGAGGUAAUGGCUCACCAAGGCUGCGAUCCGUAACUGGUCUGAGAGGAUGAUCAGUCACACUGGAACUGAGACACGGUCCAGACUCCUACGGGAGGCAGCAGUGGGGAAUAUUGGACAAUGGGCGAAAGCCUGAUCCAGCCAUGCCGCGUGUGUGAAGAAGGUCUUCGGAUUGUAAAGCACUUUAAGUUGGGAGGAAGGGCAGUAAGUUAAUACCUUGCUGUUUUGACGUUACCGACAGAAUAAGCACCGGCUAACUUCGUGCCAGCAGCCGGGGUAAUACGAAGGGUGCAAGCGUUAAUCGGAAUUACUGGGCGUAAAGCGCGCGUAGGUGGUUUGUUAAGUUGGAAGUGAAAGCCCCGGGCUCAACCUGGGAACUGCUUUCAAAACUGGCAAGCUAGAGUAUGGCAGAGGGUGGUGGAAUUUCCUGUGUAGCGGUGAAAUGCGUAGAUAUAGGAAGGAACACCAGUGGCGAAGGCGACCACCUGGGCUAAUACUGACACUGAGGUGCGAAAGC